GACGAACGCUGGCGGCGUGCCUAAUACAUGCAAGUUGAGCGCUGAAGGUUGGUACUUGUACCGACUGGAUGAGCAGCGAACGGGUGAGUAACGCGUGGGGAAUCUGCCUUUGAGCGGGGGACAACAUUUGGAAACGAAUGCUAAUACCGCAUAAAAACUUUAAACACAAGUUUUAAGUUUGAAAGAUGCAAUUGCAUCACUCAAAGAUGAUCCCGCGUUGUAUUAGCUAGUUGGUGAGGUAAAGGCUCACCAAGGCGAUGAUACAUAGCCGACCUGAGAGGGUGAUCGGCCACAUUGGGACUGAGACACGGCCCAAACUCCUACGGGAGGCAGCAGUAGGGAAUCUUCGGCAAUGGACGAAAGUCUGACCGAGCAACGCCGCGUGAGUGAAGAAGGUUGUCGGAUCGUAAAACUCUGUUGGUAGAGAAGAACGUUGGUGAGAGUGGAAAGCUCAUCAAGUGACGGUAACUACCCAGAAAGGGACGGCUAACUACGUG
rnacentral:rRNA from 1 species